AACUGUAGAGCUAAUACAUGCAGACAAUGGGCGCAAGCCCAUGCAUUUAUUAGAUACUAACCAACCCCGGCAACGGGUGUGGAGGAAUCAUAAUAACUGAGCGAAUCGCCGCAAGGCGAUGCAUCAUUCAAAUUUCUUCCCUAUCAGCUUUUGACGGUAAUGUAGUGGACUACCGUGGCGGUAACGGGUAACGGAGAAUUAGGGUUCGAUUCCGGAGAGGGAGCCUUAAAAAUGGCUACCACAACUAAGGUUGGCAGCAGGCGCGCAACUUACUGAAUCUCGAUUCGAGGAAGUAGUGACAAAAAAUAACGCCGCGGGGCCCAUUGGGCUUCGCGGUGGAAUGAGAACAAUUUAAAUCCCUUAUCGAAAGCAACUGGAGGGCAAGUCUGGUGCCAGCAGCCGCGGUAAUUCCAGCUCCAGUAGCGUAUAUUAAAGUUGUUGCAGUUAAAAAGCUCGUAGUUGGAUUUUGGAAGGGCGCCGUGGGUCCGCGCCUUCGGGCGUGUGCACCCAACGGUCGGUGGGAAACCACCAAUUAUUUUGCCCGUCCUUUAGGCCGAAGCUCUCCCGGGGGCGGUGCGUUCACGCGUGCCGUCCUUCCGGGGCCAAAGGGCCUCGGCCGCGUUACUGUGAGUAAAUCAGAGUGUUCAAAGCAGGCAGGAUCGCCUGAAUGGAUUAGCAUGGAAUAACAACGAACGACUCCGGUCUGGUUGUUGGUUAACAGGCCGCGAGGCACUUGAUUAAUAGGGACAGUUGGGGGCAUUCGUAUUCCGUAGUCAGAGGUGAAAUUCUUGGAUUUACGGAAGACGAACUUAUGCGAAAGCAUUUG
rnacentral:rRNA from 1 species